rnacentral:rRNA from 1 species
CCUACGAGGGGCAGCAGUGGGGAAUAUUGCACAAUGGGGGAAACCCUGAUGCAGCGACGCCGCGUGAGUGAAGAAGUAUUUCGGUAUGUAAAGCUCUAUCAUCAGGGAAGAAAUCCACCCUCCGGGGUGGCUGACGGUACCUGACUAAGAAGCCCCGGCUAACUACGUGCCAGCAGCCGCGGUAAUACGUAGGGGGCAAGCGUUAUCCGGAUUUACUGGGUGUAAAGGGAGCGUAGGUGGCAAGGCAAGUCAGAUGUGAAAACCCGGGGCCCAACCCCGGGAGUGCAUUUGAAACUGUCUGGCUAGAGUGCAGGAGAGGUAAGUGGAAUUCCUAGUGUAGCGGUGAAAUGCAUAGAUAUUAGGAGGAACACCAGUGGCGAAGGCGGCUUACUGGACUGUAACUGACACUGAGGCUCGAAAGCGUGGGGAGCAAACAGGAUUAGAUACCCGUGUAGUC